UACGUAGGUGGCAAGCGUUGUCCGGAAUUACUGGGUGUAAAGGGAGCGUAGGCGGGAUUCCAAGUUGGGUGUGAAAUACCCGGGCUUAACCCGGGGGCUGCACCCAAAACUGGGAUUCUUGAGUGAUGUAGAGGCAGGCGGAAUUCCUAGUGUAGCGGUGAAAUGCGUAGAUAUUAGGAGGAACACCAGUGGCGAAGGCGGCCUGCUGGGCAUUAACGUGACGACUGAG
rnacentral:rRNA from 1 species